rnacentral:lncRNA from 1 species
CGCUCUGACAGGCCUGCCCCAGGCGACUGGGUGAGCUGUCUCAGCCAGCAGCCCCGCUGCCUUAGCCGUGAUCUGUCCUUGCCGCAGUGGCCCAGUUGGUGGCCAGGGGACCGUUGGAAAAUGCUGGCUCACGGUGAUCGGAUGGCCCUGGGGACAGCAGGGCCAGCACCUACUUAGGCGCCUGGCAAUUCCAAGCUCUUCACUUUGAGAAAGGCCAGAAUCGGGCCUGUCACUUCCUGUGUGGCCUCGAUACAUGCGGAAGCCUCAGUUUCCCCAGCAGCACCUCCCAGGAGCAUAAUGUGGUUUCAGUGGGAUCAAAUGCUUAGAAGUUCUCCGUAAGUUGCUUCACACACAGAAAACUAAGUACUGAGCACCAUGUUUGAUUCACCCAAACAAUUUGUGAAAGUCUACAGCCACCAGAGACUGAGCUACAGGAAACACCAGUGACCGCAGAGCAGUGAC